rnacentral:rRNA from 1 species
GCCGCCCAAGGAUGGGGCCGCGACCGAUCAGGUUGUUGGUGAGGUAAUGGCUCACCAAGCCUUUUACCGGUGCGGGCCGUGAGAGCGGGAGCCCGGAGAUGGGCACUGAGACAAGGGCCCAGGCCCUACGGGGCGCAGCAGUCGCGAAAACUUUGCAAUAAGCGAAAGCUUGACAGGGCUAUCCCGAGUGCCAUCCGCUGAGGAAGGCUUUUACCCAGUCUAGAACGCUGGGGGAAUAAGGAGAGGGCAAGUCUGGUGUCAGCCGCCGCGGUAAUACCAGCUCUCCGAGUGGUGUGGAUGUUUAUUGGGCCUAAAGCAUCCGUAGCUGGCUAGGUUAGUCCCUUGUUAAAUCCACCGAAUUAAUCGUUGGAUUGCGGGGGAUACUGCUUGGCUAGGGGACGAGAGAGGCAGACGGUAUUUCCGGGGUAGGGGUGAAAUCCUAUAAUCCCGGGAAGACCACCAGUGGCGAAGGCUGUCUGCUAGAACGCGCCCGACGGUGAGGGAUGAAAGCUGGGGGAGCGAACCGGAUUAGAUACCCGGGUAGUCCCAGCUGUAAACGAUGCAGGCUAGGUGUUUGGACGGCCACGUGCCGUUCUAGUGCCGCAGGGAAGCUGUUAAGCCUGCCGCCUGGGGAGUACGAUCGCAAGAUUGAAACUUAAAGGAAUUGGCGGGGG